UGUAUCUUCUCAGUGUUUUUCACAACUCACAUCAAACUCUGAGCCCAGCAAUUGUAUGGCGGAUUUUUCACAGGAUUUCAGCUUAGCUUCAGAAAACUCUAACCAUUCAUCAAUUCCGUUGUCUUGAAAUUGUUAAAAUUUACUGCAAAUAAAAGUUAAAAAGAGUUUGAAGUGUCUGCUAGACAGCCAUUAGACCAUCCCAGCACCAUUGACGAGUCUGAGAACGAUCAUCUACAGCGCCAUGACCCGAAAGCCAUGGGUGCUGUUAAUCAAUGAUUUUAUUAAGUCGAGCGUCUAUCGGAAACAACUUUUCUGCUCUAUGAAGGUAAGGGUAAAAUCUGUGUAUACCCCCACCCUCCCAGACCCCACUUAUGGGACUAUAAUGUGGGUCAAGAACAACAGUGUUCUUUUAGCAGAUCAAUAAGUGGAGGCUCUUUCAAAAGUUUGAUUAUGUUUACUUUGAGCAUUUGGAUAUGUGCAAUGAGGGUCAUUUAAUUUGUGAUAAAUUUAUUUCAACUGUUCUUCAGGUAGCUGCAAUUCUUGAAAUUGAUUUUGAUGCUUCUUGUUUUUUAUUCCUUGGUGAAUUAUGAGUGUAGGAUCCAUUGAUUUUUCUUGUUUUGUAUGUCCAAACAUAUUUGAGUGAUUUUCCCACAUCGCCAGCGGAAGAGAAGUUGAGCAAAAUCACUAGCAUAAGUAAUGGGCCGAGCUAACGGAAUGACAUACUUACCUGGACGGGGUCAAUGGGUGAUCAAUAAGAUCCAUGGCCUAGGUUGGUGACCUUCAUUGCACUUUGGAGGGGUGCCCACCUAAGGUCGGCCCAAGUGGUCGAGCCUACGUCAUAAUUUGUGGUAGAGGGGGCCUGCGUUCGCGCGGCCCCUGCCCAAAACUUAGUCCAAACAUUUGACUCAUGCUGUUCCAGAGUAUUUGUCAUUCCGUAUUUUGUUUAUUCCCUAAGUAAUGUGUUAUGAAAGCGCCUACUUCGUGGUUGUUGUUGUAUUAUGUGUUUCAAGAAUUUAUGCCCAAGUUGUAUCAACUGGGCAAAUUGGUUUAACAUACUGAGUCAUUAGAAGUAGGCUGGUGCUUUUUUCCAGUGACAAAGAAAUCCCAGUGACUGGGGAAUGUGAUGUAUGUAUAUUCUCGCGUCCACCUCAGUAUCAGGCUAGGUAUGAUCUUAAUAGUUGGGUCCAUCAUAGUGGGCUUCUGUUGGAAAUAGUAGUAUAUGUGAUAAAUAUGGUAACAACAGAAGUAUUUUUGUUUGCAAAUUUAUAACAACGGUUAAAUGUAGGUAAAAUUUGAUGGAAAUUUUAUAUUUCAGCAUUCAAUGGCUUAUUCGGCAAAUUUUAUAUAUUUUCAUCCUUGUUUAUACAAUCCUUUACAGCUUUUAUGUAUGUUAUUGUGCACAUGUUAACAAGAAAUUCAUUAGAUUUAAUAAUUGUACCAUGUGGUUCAUAGAACUCUUAAUGUUGCAAUUUAUUUUAAACUCUUAAUGUUUAUGCCUAUUUAAAUGAACCUUACAAUUAUCAUCAAAAGGAGCCAUCUUGCUAUUGCUUAGUUUAGUGUGUUGUAUAUGUUACUAGAUAUCAAAAGGUUUUGUUCCUUUGUCCAUUUCCUUGGAAACAACCUCAUGCAGAAACGCACGGUAACAACGCGUAUAACAGAGCCUUGUCAUCCUGCCCUUCCCCGAACCUUGCACAUAGCAGGAGCUUAGUGCACCGGGCUGCCCACCUUUUGUUUUUGGUUGUAUGUGGAACCUUUACUGUUCACUCUUCUAAGUAAUUUUGCUGUCGAAACUGUGGAUUUGGAUGUAACAAGAAUAAUAAGAUCAGAAAGAUCUGAAGGAGGUCGCAUUGCUACCUAUCGGUACUAUAUAUCUAGAGCUCGACACUGGAAGUUCCAGCAUCAAUUUAUAUAUAGUGUUCUUGUGAUGCAACACUAUAGUUACUUCAUAGUUCUUCUUGUAUUGAAAGAGAAUCAAAUACAUGCUCUGUUGAUUUUUCUUAUUUUCCAUUUCCAAACAUGGUUCUAAAGAGAGCUAAUGUCAUUUAGAGUGAUUUUCCUACAUCGCCAGCCGAAGAGAAGCUGAGCAAAAGCUCUAACAUAAGUAAUGGGCUGAGCUAACUGGGUUACAUACUUACCUGGACGGGAUCAAUGGGUGAUCAAUAAAACCCAUGGCCUAGGUUGGCGACCUCCAUUGCACUUUGGAGGGGUGCCUGCCUAAGGUCGGCCCAAGUGGUUGAGCCUACGUUAUAAUUUGUGGUGGAGGGGGCCUGUGUUCGCGCGGCCCCUGCCCAAAUCUUCGUCCAAACUUUGCAUCAUGAAGUUUCAGAGCAUAAAUCAUUUUAUACUCUUCUUUGUCCCCUUCUAAAGGAAGAAAGUCAGUAACUUUUAGGGAGAAGGAAUUGGCCUGAUUGAUAUAACAACAAAGCAAAAAUGAAUUGCAACAUAAGCUUUUUGAUUGAAUAGGCCAAAUCUUAUAUAGGAAAGGAUGAAUCUUACAAUUAUCAUUAAAAGGUCCCAUUUUGCUGCUGCUUCGUUAAUAGGAAUAUAGGAUUCAGAAGGCGUUGUUUGUUUGAUAUUGUUUGUUUUUUCUUAUUCAUUUUUCUUUUAAUAGAGACUUCUGCUAACAGUGGCGGAUCUACACUUAAGUUAGGGAGUUUAUCCGAACUCCCUUCGGCGAAAAAUUAUGUUAUAUAUACAUGGUUAAAAUUAUUUUUUAUGUAUAUAUAUUAGAUGUUAAACCCCCUUCGAUUAGUUUUUAUAUUCACUUAUGAACUCCCUUAGUGAAAAUCCUGGCUCCGCCACUGUCUGCAAGACAUUGUCUGUGGAACUAUUGUUCACUUACCUAAGUAAUUUUGCUAUCAGACACUGGUUUUGGAUGUAAUAAGAAUAGAGAGAUCUCAAGUACGUCGUGUUGCUUCCUGUUGGUACUGUCUAUAUAGAGCUUGAGACUUGAAGUUUCAAGAUUGAUUUACAUAUAGUGUUCUUGUGAUGCAACACUAUUGGUUACUUCAUAGUUACUCUUGUAUUGAAUGAGUAUCAAAUAUACGCUCCAUUGAUUUUUCUUGUUUUGUAUCUCCAAACAGAGAGCAAAAUGAGAGCUAAUGCCAUUUUGAGUGAUUUUCCCACAUCGCCAGCGGAAUAUAAGUUGAGCAAAAUCACUAGCAUAAGUAAUGGGCUGAGCUAACGGGAUUACAUACUUACCUGGACGGGGUCAAUUGGUGAUCAAUAAAAUCAAUGGCCUAGGUUGGUGACCUCCAUUGCACUUUGGAGGGGUGCCCACUUAAGGUCGGCCCAAGUGGUCGAGCCUACGUCAUAAUUUGUGGUAGAGGGGGCCUGCGUUCGCGCGGCCCCUGCCCAAAACUUAGUUGUAAUUUUUGGCCCAAGCAAGGAUGGAAAGCAUCUGGCAACGGAAGGACUUAAUAUUGUUUCAGUCUCAACGAUAACUCUUGUCCAUUAUUCCGUGUGCUUCCAUCCUUAUUGGGAAAGAAGAGCAGGACGGACGCUUUAUUUUUGCUUGUGUAACUAAGACGAAAAUUAUUCUUCCUUUCAGCAUUCAAUGUCUUACUCUACUGUUUUAUGUACGUUCAUCCUUGUUUGUACAUUAUUUUUCUUGUUUCCUAUUUCAAAACAGUGUGCUAAACAAAGCUAAUGCCAUUUGAAGUGACUUUCCCA